CUUGAGAUUAUUCCUGCAUCUUUCUUUUUUCCAGAAUGUUAAAAGCAGAACUCUGCUGGCUAAAGCAGAACCCUGUGAGCUACACAAAACAUGAAGCUGAAAUCAAAAUGCACCAGCAGGACAGACACCAAACAGAAAAAGGCCCUGGGGCACCACGGUUCAUGUGGGAAAGCUCCAGGGAGACGUGAAGCCCCCAACAGCUCUGCCUUGAGAGCAAGGCGAGAUGGGCCUUCAGAAAGCAAAUAUUUCCUAGAAAACAGUGGUUGAAAGUGAUGUUUCCUUAGCUCUUCUAACCACCACAGUCCUAAAAUGAAAGUAGAUGAGAAAAGAGGCAAUAACACUGAAUUGAGCAUUCAAGAAGCAUGGAUUUGGGUACAAGCUCUGCCAAUAGCUAGCUAUAUAAUCUUAGCAAAUUUUUCCACUUCUCUGAAAGAUGAUGAUUUGACUAUAAGAUUACUAAAGUCACUUCUGCUUGAACAUUGUUUUUGGUAUUAGUGGAAGAGGAAGCCACAAUUUAAUGAAAGCUGAAGAAAAUGAGCUCAAAAGGGAAAAGCUAAAAUAUUUAGAUUAUGGAAAUGAUUAAAAGUGAGCCAAUAAUGGUCUAUAUUUUAAUAAAGGGAAUUUUUUUUUAAAUGAAGAUCAGCUGGACUUAAUGUCAACUUGGGUCAGCAUGGGAAGAAAUGCACUUUAUUGGCUGAGGUUAGAUUUAACAGGGACCUCCCUGCCUGUGCUGAAUGUCAAAGUUGCAGUAGGCAAUGGAAAAAAAUGUCCAUCCUCUUAAAACAGCUUUCAAAGAGCAUAGGUAAUUCUCUAUCCAAACGGUCUAUCCCAAGCCGAAAAAAUCUGCAGGUGGUUUUCAUAGAUCCUUUGAUUUCACACAUUUCAUAGACAGUAUUUGACAUAAGAGAUUAAAAUCCCUACUUUUAGCCCUUAUUUCUUUCUUUUUCCAGUUUCCGUCUGCCGCCUGUCUCCGUUGCUGAAGCUCACAGAGCCCAAGGGAAGACGACAGAUGAUCAAAAGCCAAUGGCAAAGCAAUAUGAGUAGUUUCCUCUGUAACUUCAUCCACUUCAUUUAUAUGGUAAGAAAAUAACUGUGCCAAACUGAUCCAGUUACAAAAGAAAAAGGAAAAGAAUUUGGUUUACCUGGCUCUAAUCAGCUAUCUACUUCAUCUCCUAUCUCCUGUGCGGUGGAGGCGGCAUGGACCAAGAAGGCCAA
rnacentral:lncRNA from 1 species